rnacentral:rRNA from 1 species
GAGUUUGAUCAUGGCUCAGGACGAACGCUGGCGGCGUGCUUAACACAUGCAAGUCGAGCGGUAAGGCCUUUCGGGGUACACGAGCGGCGAACGGGUGAGUAACACGUGGGUGAUCUGCCCUGCACUUCGGGAUAAGCCUGGGAAACUGGGUCUAAUACCGGAUAUGACCUCCUAUCGCAUGAUGGGUGGUGGAAAGAUUUAUCGGUGCAGGAUGGGCCCGCGGCCUAUCAGCUUGUUGGUGGGGUAAUGGCCUACCAAGGCGACGACGGGUAGCCGACCUGAGAGGGUGACCGGCCACACUGGGACUGAGACACGGCCCAGACUCCUACGGGAGGCAGCAGUGGGGAAUAUUGCACAAUGGGCGAAAGCCUGAUGCAGCGACGCCGCGUGAGGGAUGACGGCCUUCGGGUUGUAAACCUCUUU